rnacentral:rRNA from 1 species
GACGAACGCUGGCGGCGUGCUUAACACAUGCAAGUCGAACGGAAAGGCCCUGCUUUUGUGGGGUGCUCGAGUGGCGAACGGGUGAGUAACACGUGAGUAACCUGCCCUUGACUUUGGGAUAACUUCAGGAAACUGGGGCUAAUACAGCAUAGGAGCUCCUGCUGCAUGGUGGGGGUUGGAAAGUUUCGGCGGUUGGGGCUGGACUCGCGGCUUAGCGGCUGGUUGGUGGGGUAGGGGAUUACCAAGGGUUUGACGGGUAGCCGGCCUGGGAGGGGGACCGGGGUCAUGGGGACUACGAGACGGAGCAGUAGCGAACGGGAGGCAACGGGGGGGAAUAUGGCAGAAUGGGCGGAAGCCUGAUGCAGCAGCGCCGGGUGCGGGAUGAUGGCUUUCGGGUGGUAAACAGCUUUCGCCGGUAACGAGGCGGGAGUGACGGUAAUGGGUAAAAAAGCACCGGCUAACUACGUG